CUCGCGUCCCUUAGCUCCCCUGGGUGGGCGCGGGAGGCCCCGGCACCCCCUGGGCGCAGCCGUCCCCGCGGAGAGUAGAUUUUAUUCACUGAGACGAUCGUAUGGCUGGCAGACCCUUGCUCUAAGGCCUGAAACGUUGACUGGAAACACCACCAGGGCAGAGGUUACGAC